rnacentral:misc_RNA from 4 species
AACGCACCUUGCACUCUUUGGUAUUCCGAAGAGUAUGUCUGUUUGAGUGUCAUGAAACUCUCAACCCCCUCAUUUUGUAAUGAUUUGAGCUGUGGGCUUGGAUUGUGGCUGUUUGCUGGCUUUAAGUAGCCGGCUCGGCUGAAAUACACGAGCAACCGCAUGAAUUAACAACGGCUUGACUCGGCGUAAUAAUUAUUUCGCUGAGGACGUUUCCCAAUUCUAAAGGUGCUUCUAAUGCAUUAGCAAUAAUCUUUUAAGCUUUAGACCUCAAAUCAGUCAGGACUACCCGCUGAACUUAA